rnacentral:lncRNA from 1 species
GCCCUCCGGCUGAGCCCUGAUCUCUAUGGUUUCCGCGGCUCGCUAGAAGGAGUGUGGUCCACCGGAGGACUCCCUACAUUCUUCCUCCAUUACCUCACUGCCUCCGGUGGCUGCUGGGAUACCGGAGGACUCGGGUCCCGGCUCGACUCAGUCCUCCAGCCGCCCGGGGAAUACCUCUAGUUCUUCCCGGCCGCCGCCGCCGCCGCCGCCCCGCCGCUUCCUCCUCCGCCUGCCGGCCUCCUUCGCCCCGUCCCGUCCGCGCAGCGCGUCCGGCCCGCCCGCAGGCCAGCUUCUCUCGGGAGCCCCCACCCAGGCGCAUGGCUCCAUGAAGCAAGAGGAGGAGGCAGAGCGCGAGAGGUCCCGUCCGCCCCAGCCGCGUCUGGGCCAGGAUAAAAGCAAAACCAUAUUCCUGCUGCUGUCAGUUAUGAUGCACUGAGAAAACUUCAGAGACCUAAACUUUUUCCAGAGAAGAGAAGCUUUACUGGUGUUCCAGCCCUAAGAAACCUUUGUUCAAGAAAACGGCAGAUGCUCUGUUGAAUCCACUGGAGAUUGUUCUGAUACUAAGGACAAGUAUCAACCAUCUUUCCUGUGAAAAAUUCCCUCUCGUACUUUAGUUCUGUGGAUCCAAAAUUUAUAGCAUUCUUCUACCACCACAGGGGCUCAUAUGACAUUAACAGACAAGACACUUUUCAGAAAGACAGGCAACGUGUUGGACCUUCCGGAGCUUCUCAGAAGACAGAGGGUUUUCUUUUGAGACAAAUCAACUCAAUCAAAGAAACCAACUCAAUCAAAGAAAGAUGGGUCUACAUACAACAAAACUGAACAAAAUCUGCAAGAAGAGUGAUUCAUACAUGGGCUAUUGAGGCAACAUGAAAUGGACAUUAAUCGACUAAGUAAAAAACA